GUCCCAGCGUGCCCCGCGCGCGCGCGCGCGUGGCAGUUGGAGCCCGGCUGCCGAGGCGCCUUCCCGCCGCCAGAGCCAGGUGACGUCUGUGCAGCAUGAUGGUGGCCUGAGAAGCAUGAGGCUGUGGCACCGGGGGCCCUGAAGGCUGGUGGGCUCACGGGGAGGAAUGCUACGGUGGGCAGUGCACUUGGAAGGUGGGCCUCGAAGGGUGAACCACGCUGCUGUGGCCGUCGGGCACAAGGUGUAUUCCUUUGGUGGCUAUUGCUCUGGAGAAGACUAUGAGACUCUACGGCAGAUUGAUGUUCACGUUUUUAACGCAGUGUCUCUGCGUUGGAUCAAGCUGCCUCCAGUGUGGACAAACAGCCGAGACCAUGUGAGAGAGGUGCCCUAUAUGAGGUAUGGGCACUCAGCAGUGCUCAUAGAUGACACCAUCUACAUAUGGGGUGGUCGCAAUGACACUGAGGGAGCCUGCAACGUGCUCUAUGCCUUUGAUGUCAACACGCACAAAUGGUUCACACCAAAGGUGUCUGGAACGGUCCCAGGAGCAAGAGAUGGGCACUCAGCGUGUGUCCUGGCAAAGAGCAUGUUUAUCUUCGGAGGCUACGAGCAGCUGGCUGACUGCUUUUCUAAUGACAUCCAUAAAUUGGACACCACAAGCAUGAUGUGGACCUUAAUCUCUGCCAAGGGUACACCAGCUCGUUGGAGAGACUUCCAUUCGGCUACCAUCAUUGGAACAAAGAUGUAUGUGUUCGGUGGCAGAGCUGAUCGGUUUGGGCCAUUUCAUUCCAACAAUGAGAUCUACUGCAACCGCAUUAAAGUAUUUGACACAGAAACAAACUCCUGGCUGGACUCCCCUCCCACUCCAGUGCUCCCUGAAGGCCGGAGGAGCCAUUCAGCCUUCAGCUACAAUGGGGAGCUAUAUGUAUUUGGUGGCUACAACGCGCGCCUGAACAGACACUUCCACGAUCUCUGGAAAUUCAAUCCAGUUUCUUUUUCUUGGAGGAAGAUUGAGCCCAAGGGGAAAGGCCCAUGUCCUCGACGUCGGCAGUGCUGCUGCAGAGUUGGGGACAAAAUCAUUCUCUUUGGAGGCACCAGCGGUGAGCUGUGCCCCGUAGUUUGAACUGGCAUUACAAGAACUGGCGAGGGUGGUACCAUCUCGUGUCCUGGUGAGAUGUGAAGCUUGGGAAGCAAGUGACACUGGGAUGAGACGUCGCAGCACAAGCUCCCAGCUAGGCAGGAAAGACACGUUGAACUUCCUUGUUGCAGACUGAAGUGGGGCUUGAAAUGCCUUUCCUUUCUGUUAAACUCUCCGAACAACUGUCAACCACAGAAGAGUUUUCCCUUGGGCCAGGCGCUGCUGUCCCAGCACAGGCUGCUCUGCCUGCGCUCAGAGCACUGAUCAGGCUGCUAUGUGGCUUCGACCACUCUCCUCCCACCACCCGCCAAGACUGCAGGGGACCUUAGAGAUGAGGCUGCCUGUUCCCUGGGAACGCCUGAAACGACCGCUCCCCUCUGGCAUCGCAGCACCAACCUCAGAUGGGAGCAUCAACAAAUUGGGGCUGGCUUAGAGCGACAGUCCCGCAGAUCAGGAUCUGACGCUCACUCAGUCCCCUGAAAACAGGGACUCGCUUAGUCCCCGUUGCAGCAUGGCCUGUUGGCGCAACCAGGGAGCUGUGGCUGGAGCCUGCGGUUGAACGGAGAACGUCUGCACUUGCACUGCCGCGUGGAUGUUUCCUAGCUGCUUUCUCCACGUUUCUCUCUCAAUGACUCAAUGGCCCAUCUGAAAUAACUGCAGCACAUCUUAACCAUGUGAACACCGGAGUGAUGAAUGCUGUGUGGCUGGGCAGAACUGCUUUUAUCUGAAUGCUGUGCUGUCGGACUUGGCACGGACUUGCCUUCCAAUCCUGCAGCAGGACCCCGAAGCUGCUGCUGUAAUUGGAGGAACACGGUAAAUGCCGUAAUUGGAGGAACAUGGUAAAUGCCGUAAUUGGAGGAACACGGUAAAAUAGGACGUUCUCCUGGCCGCAGGCUGCCAAGCUGCGGGUUUUUGCUAGAGACUUUGUGUUAACCCAGUGCGUAUGUGCAGCUAGUGCAGACAAAGAGGGGAAGAACCUGCCGCUGCUGAACCAAGAGGAGACCUCCGUGGAUGCUAAUUGUCAACUGCAGCCUUCACUCUUCUGCAGAAAAUGUUGAGCUCCUGGAAAGCACCUUCCAUACAGUCCCAAAAGAAAGGUGCUCAGCUUAUUGCAUUCCUGCACGCUGCGGUGCUGGAGCAGUGUGGCAGUGUUUGCCUGCUCUGUCCUCAGCAGCAUCAGUGCUCCCAAGAGCUUGCAGGCGUAAGAAUCUAGCUCACGGGUUUCCAUGGCAUUACUCAUGAGUAACAUGCUGCCUGAGGCAGCCCGUGAAUGUUGCACAGCCUUGGGAAGCAAGAGCUGAGGUGUGGGCAGGCAGAGCUGAGCCGUGUUGCCUGCAACAUAUGGCUGCUCUUGUUGCUUCUCCAGGGACUGUAAGCCUGGAUGGCCAGUGGCUACUUGUUGGUGCUGCCAACAUCUCUGGAGACAUGGAGACAGGCCAUGGCUCCCCUGCCCUCUGGCCUUGCAGCACAGCUGCAGAGCCUUGCAGAGAGGCCUUCUGCGGCCCCCAGCUUUUCCCACUGGCUUCACUGGAUGCCAGCACAGCUCUGAACUGUCUCGUGAUGGCAGGCAGCAUUGGACACUGGUGUGGGGCAGCCAGUGGGCCCUGCUUGUUGCACAUGGAGCAGCAUGUUUGGAUAGAUGCCUGUGCAAGUGUAUCUGCACGUGGGAGCAGCUGUAGCAUCCCUCACUCCUCCUCUUGGGACCCUGGGAUUCGGCUUUGCCUCUCUGAGGGGAGCGGAGGCAGCUCUUUGGAGGACCCGUCUCCAGAGGAGGGAAUGGGCGAUGAAUUUGACCUGAUGGAUCACUCGGAUCUCUACAUCCUCGACUUCA